UACAGAGGAUGCAAGCGUUAUCCGGAAUGAUUGGGCGUAAAGCGUCUGUAGGUGGCUUUUUAAGUCCGCCGUCAAAUCCCAGGGCUCAACUCUGGACAGGCGGUGGAAACUACCAAGCUGGAGUACGGUAGGGGCAGAGGGAAUUUCCGGUGGAGCGGUGAGAUGCGUAGAUAUGCGGAGGAACACCGAUGGCGAAGGCAAUCCCCUGGGCCUGCACUGACGCUCAUGCACGAAAGCGUGGGGAGCAAACAGG
rnacentral:rRNA from 1 species